CAGCUCCAGGUUCUCCUCCGUGUUCUUCUGGGCCAGGAAGCGGCCAGCGAUGUCCUGGCCAGUCCGGGGGAGAGAGAAGCAGAGCGCCUCAGACCCCAGCCCAGCUCAGCCACCCUCCUGCCAUGCUCCGGGAGUGCCAGGGAGCAUUACCCAGACGUGAGAGGCUCAGCCACCCUCCUGCCAUUCUCUGGGAGCACCAGGGGCAUUACCCAGAUGUGAGAGUCUCAGCCACCCUCCUGCCAUGCUCCCAGAGCGCCAGGGGCAUUACCCAGACGUGAGAGCACCGUACAGCACUCUUGACCUUCUCCACCACAGCAGUCACACCCGCCUGGUAUUCCAUUUCUGCUGUGGAGGUCUCUUUUCUCCUCACUGGCAGAGCAGAGGGGAGGGGCAGUCAGCAUGCAGGGAUGGCUCAGGGGCUCUGUGUAAGGCUGUCGGACACCUCUGUACCUGCCCAGCUGCUGGGGAGGCCACCCAAGACACAGGCAUCCUUCAGAGGUGCCUGCCGCCCCGCCCACCUGCUCCCUCCUCAGCCCAGCCCUGCAGGGACGCCCCAGGCAGCCCCAGAGCAGAGGUGGACCCGGAGUGAGUGGCGCGGCACAGUGGGCCCGGUGGUGCUUCUCAGAGGCAGCUUAGGGGUCAGGAUGCUUAUCCUCUGCAGAGUCACUGGGGACUGGGCCCUUGGUGCAGGGCCCUUGGGUGCUGGGACCAGCAUCUCUGAGGCCACAUUUGGCUGCAGGCUCUCAGCCUCUGGAGGGAGAGGCAGGGACCUGCCUUUCCCUUCCCCCUGGCGACCGCAUGUCACACCUGGCCUCAGAGUGACCUGAUCCGUUGGCCCAAGCCAGUGCCAACCUCUCCUUGGGACCCUGGCUGGGAGGCAGGUGGGGAGCUGAGCGCUUACAUUUCAGGGUCUCCAUGCUCAUCAGGUUCGAGGGGAAGUCCAAGUCCAUCUGGCCCUGAUGGGAGGUGGGGGCGGGGAAGGGAUGAGACAUCCUUUGCAGGGAGUGGUGGCCCUGAGCCUGUGUCCACCCACCUGUUGUGGGGACGGGCAGCUGGCCAGGCCCUGGCCUGGGGCUUACCCGGCGGUACUUUUCGCUGGUCUCUUUCGUGUGGAUCUUGUCGAUCAGCUUCUUCUGCUGGUUGAGCCGGUUCUCCCUUGCCCGGCGCUCCUCGAUGAAGGACGCCUCCCUUUGCCUCAUGUUCCUCUGGGGACACGUGGGUGGGCACAGAGUUGGGGAGCUGUCUCAACAAGGCCCCUAAUGGCACUAAAGCCAGCGAGCAGUUGGCCAUGUUCACCUUAGUAGACUUUGGAACUGCAUCCCCGGCCACUGGCCACACCCUUUUCCUAAACCACUCAUGCCCAUGCCCUCUCAGCUCAGGGCCCUCCUUGCCCAUGUCUCUCAGAGCAUCUGCCAGCCCAGACGCUCUGCUCCCCUCCAGCCCCUGGCCCCCAACUGCCUCCUGGCCAGGUCCACCUAGAACUCACGGAAGUGCAUUCAGCCUGCCUGAAGACAGAUUCAUCCUCUUCCCCAAAACCUGGCCUCUUCCAGCGUGCCCUUGGGUAGCUAAAACCGUCAUCUGUCCACCCCUGCUCACACACCCCAGACACUGCUCUCACCCUCGCCACUCUCGUUGCCAGCGCUUAGUGGGGCUGCUUCUUGAGGAGUUCUCGGCUCCAUUGCUCCUGGCCACCCCUUCUCCACCCUGGGCAUGCCCAGGUGAUCAGCGCUUCUGCCCUGGCACCUUCCAGUCCCCGCAGCCUGAGCACACCCUUUCUGAAGCACAGACCUGGUCACAUCUUCCCUCUACCUCAUCCCAGGGCUCCAGGUCAGUCCUUGGGCCCCCAGCCCAGCCGCCUCCAUGGACUCCUGGGGCCUGUGCCUCUGCAGCCUUCACUGCCCUGGCCACACGGUGUUCCAUGUAUCACAGCCCUCCCGGCCCAGGGCCUUUUCCCAAGUUGUAGCUCCUCCUUCCUAGCCCUGGCCACACCUGACCUUUGCGGGUUCACUCCCUCAGCCCAGCUGAAGCACUGUCUUCCUGGAAAGCCAUCUGCCACCCCACCUCUCUCUGCCAAGCUGGCUCAGGGGCUGUGUGGCAUUUCUUCAUGGACUAUUGGAUGAGUGCCACCCACUUCAGGAGGACAGGGUCUGCCUGUCCUGGUCCCUGCUGUAUCCCCAGAGCCUUGCAGGGACCUUGGCACAGACUGGGUGAAUAGGUGACCCCUGCCCUGGCCCGGCCAAUUCUCUCCCUCUCGUCUACUUCAUGGCUCCUGUGCUGGAUGGGACCCGCUCUGUCCAGUGGGCGAGCAGAGCACACUGGCCGGGCUGGCCACUGGAUCCUUCCAGGGAUUGUAGGCAGUGUGGGCAUGGGGGUCUCCUGAGAGACCCUGGCCAGGAAGACACAAGAGAGCCAGCCCUGGAGGGCCCCCAGCCCUGGGCCCUGAGCUCACCUUGACCUCAUCCGAAGAUGCAAGAGAGCCAGCCCUGCGGGGCCCCCAGCCCUGGGCCCUGAGCUCACCUUGACCUCAUCUGAAGAUCCAGGAGGGCCAGCCCUGGAGGGCCCCCAGCCCUGGGCCCUGAGCUCACCUUGACCUCAUCCGUAAUCAUCAUGGCGUCUUGGGACAUGAUCUUCAUAUCCGACAGCUCUGAGCAGUAGCUGACCACGAGGUUCUGCAGCUUGUCCAGCUCGAUGGGAUAUCCUGCCAGCACCUGUGUUGAAUGGGGUUCUCUUGUGGCGCCUACAGAGUGGGCUGCAGUUGUCCCCAGCUUUUGUCCCCCGACUAAGAGCCCUGAGAACAGUGAUAGGUUCUGCUCUGUGGCCCAAACCACCUCCCCCACUCCCUGUUGGGCACAAAGCUGAUGAAAGGUGUUUCACAGGGAGUGGACAGUGCUGGCCUGGUGGACUCUUCCACCACCUAGGGUCCAACAACCCAGAGAGACUGAGAGAGUUUGUGAUGAAAUGCUCUGCAGAAAAGGCUGACUCUGAAACCCAGGGAGGUUUGGGGGCAGCUUUACUUUGAAGUGAAACAGAGGGGCUCAAGACAUGGGCUUGGGUCAGAAAGUCAGGAUUCAAGGCCAAGGCAGCUUCUGGCCAGCUAGCUUGGCUGUGUGACAUUGGGAAAGUUACUAACUUCUCUCAGUGUUCCCAUUUGUAGGAUGAUGGCUCGUUCAGAAGGUUGCCGUGAGGAUGAAUUGAGAGUGUAAAAGGAAUUAUUUAGCCCAGAACCAGCCCAUCUGGAGCAGAUUCUGCUUUGUGGCAGCCCGAGGGGCGGUGCUCAGCCUUCCAUGAAGGGGUCUUUCCUCACAAUCGGACUGCUGGCUGCCUUUGGCCUCGUCUGCAGGGAGCAGGGCUGGUGGGCUGGCUGGGACGGCAGCAAGCCCUGCUUACAAGGCCCAGCCGACCCUCAAAGGUGCAAGGACUUUCUGAGGGUGCAGGACCUGUCUCUGACUCUCAGAGGCCCAGGCAAUGGGAAAAUGACAGGGAAGAUACAAACGAUACUAAAUCAUUUAAUACGUGCAAGAAAGUCCAAAGAGUUCUGAUAUACUUCGCGAUAUGCUUUUUUGGAAUAGCCAAAAAUGAAGUUUAAAAAAACGUU